GGGAAAACCCUUAAUAAAUGGAUUACUUCUUAUACUGAUGGCCAGAGGUUCAAUAGACAUGAUGUACAAUAAUGGGGACAGGGGACAACCCUGUCUCGUACCAUUUCCAAGAGCGAACCACCCCGCUGAUAUAUUGGGACCCACCGUUCUUGCUGCAGGGGAGGAAUAGAGAGCGACAAUGGCUCUAUAAAUCCAGCCCCUUAUUCCAAAUGCCUGAAGAACUCCUUCUAAGUAGCCCCACCCAACCCUGUUGAACGUUUUUUCUGCAUCCAAUGACAUCCAAGGGCUAGGAGGGGCAUUUCAUGUCUAUGCGCCAUGUCCAGUAUAUCAAGUAUCCUUCUUGUAUUAUUUGAAGUGGACCGAC